rnacentral:hammerhead_ribozyme from 1 species
AUCCAGCUGAUGAGUCCCAAAUAAGACGAAACACACGUCCUGGAU